UACAGAGGGUGCGAGCGUUAAUCGGAGUUACUGGGCGUAAAGGGCGCGUAGGCGGUGAGAUGUGUGUGAUGUGAAAGCCCCGGGCUUAACCUGGGAAGUGCAUCGCAAACUAUCUGACUGGAGUAUAUGAGAGGGUGGCGGAAUUUCCGGUGUAGCGGUGAAAUGCGUAGAGAUCGGAAGGAACGUCAAUGGCGAAGGCAGCCACCUGGCAUAAUACUGACGCUGAGGCGCGAAAGCGUGGGUAGCGAACAGG
rnacentral:rRNA from 1 species